AAGAGAAAUAGGACUGCCAGAAUCUGUGAAGAAUUCUAGGAGUGAGUGAAAUAGAAAUGAAACAGAAUUGGUCAUGAGCUGAUGAUAUUUUAAGCUGGGUGAUGGGUUUAUUGUUUUACUCUCUGCUUUUUUUUUUUUUUUUGGAACAGGGAUUGAACUCGGGACCUUGCACUUUUGAGGAAGGCGGCAGCACCACUGAGCUAAAUCACUGGCCCUCUCUGCUUCUUUUGUACAUUUGACGUUUUCACUAGAUGAAAUGAUAUGGAAAGAAUUCCAGCACAGAAGGAAGUUAAACUCAAUCAGUGGUUCUCAAACAUAUCAAACUCUUCCAAGCAGAUUUCAAUGAUGGAAUUCAAGGCUUCCCUUCUGGAAAUUUUGACUCAGUUGACCUUGGAUCUACUACUUGGACCGCCAUCUAUCAUGGACUACCAAACUCCUGCAUGCCUUUUCCUCUGGAAUUUUUUCCUUCCAUCUUAUUCUCAGGUUGUCUGCUUUUACAGGUGGCAAGUUUCAGCAAGAUCUGAAGGCGAAAGGCCCAUGCUGAGAUGGUCUGCAGCAGAAAAGCUUGACCUGCCUGACCUCCUGCCCAUGCAUACAACAUAAUCACUCACAAAAUAGAUACUAAAAUAAUGUUAGCAGCCGCCUGGCCUAAACUAAUAAAACCAAGCACGUUGAGAGUUAAGGCAGAAAGCCUGUCCUUAACUCACCCCCUUGGGCCUCUGCAUUACCUCUUCCCUGGCCUGAAUUAAAAGAGCUCAAACCAAAUGGCUUUUUGCACCUCCUUCUUUUCCUGGUGUCAUUCUGACCCUGUUGAUUUUCCCCCCCCUCACAGGGCCUGACUCAGUGAGUUUAAAUGUCCUUCUCUUUCUCACUCACCACAUGCAAACUUUAAUUAAGUCUGUCUCUACAUAACACCAGCAUAACUUGGGGAGAACUGAAACAUUCUCAAAUCACUGAGUUUGGGGCCAUAAAAGGGGGAGAGGGGAAUGUCACUGAAGGUCACAUAGAAUAGCAAAAAAUACUCCAUGUGUUUAGACAGCUCCCUUUUCCAUACAUUCCCUCUCUUUCAGGCUGCAAGCACCAAACCUCUUCUUCACAUUCUAGAGAACAAACAUUUCAUUCCUAAAGUCAGCCUAUAUUUCUCCUGAGCCACCCUGCUUUCCUCCAUGCUGCACAUCUCUGCGUCAUCCACCUGGGCAGGGAGAGUGUUGAUCUUAUUAUCCCCAUUCUCUCAAGAGAGAUCUGAAGCUCAAAAAGUUAACACCAAC
rnacentral:lncRNA from 1 species